CACGUAGGGGGCAAGCGUUGUCCGGAAUCAUUGGGCGUAAAGAGCUCGUAGGCGGCUCAGUAAGUCGGGUGUGAAACCCUCAGGCUCAACCUGGGGACGCCACCCGAUACUGCUGUGGCUAGAGUCCAGUAGGGGAGUGUGGAAUUCCCGGUGUAGCGGUGAAAUGCGCAGAUAUCAGGAGGAACACCAAUUGCGAAGGCAGCUCGCUGGGACGUUACUGACGCUGAGACGCGAAAGCGUGGGGAGCAAACAGG
rnacentral:rRNA from 1 species